rnacentral:rRNA from 1 species
GAUGAACGCUGGCGGCGUGCCUAAUACAUGCAAGUCGAGCGAACAGACGAGGAGCUUGCUCCUCUGACGUUAGCGGCGGACGGGUGAGUAACACGUGGAUAACCUACCUAUAAGACUGGGAUAACUUCGGGAAAACGGAGCUAAUACCGGAGAAGAUAUUGAACCGCAUGGUUCAAUAGUGAAAGACGGUUUUGCUGUCACUUAUAGAUGGAUCCGCGCCGCUUUAGCGAGUUGGUAGGGUAACGGCUUACACAGGCAACUAGGCGUAGCCGACCUGAGAGGGUGAGCGGCCACACCGGAGCUGAGCCGCGGUCCAGACUCCUACGGUAGGCAACAGUAGCGAAUCUUCCGCAGAGGGCGAGAGCCUGGCGGAGCAACCCCGCGUGAGUGAUGAAGGUCUUCGGAUCGUAAAGCUCUGUUAUUAGGGAAGAACAAAUGUGUCAGUAACUAUGCCCGUCUUGACGGUACCUAAUCAGAAAGCCACGGCUAACUACGUG